rnacentral:rRNA from 1 species
GAUGAACGCUGGCUACAGGCUUAACACAUGCAAGUCGAGGGGAAACGACGGGGAAGCUUGCUUCCCCGGGCGUCGACCGGCGCACGGGUGAGUAACGCGUAUCCAACCUGCCUCUGACUGAGGGAUAACCCGUCGAAAGUCGGCCUAAUACCCCAUGGUAUCGUCUGCGGGCAUCCAACGACGAUUAAAGAUUUCAUCGGUCAGGGAUGGGGAUGCGUCUGAUUAGCUUGUUGGCGGGGUAACGGCCCACCAAGGCUACGAUCAGUAGGGGUUCUGAGAGGAAGGUCCCCCACAUUGGAACUGAGACACGGUCCAAACUCCUACGGGAGGCAGCAGUGAGGAAUAUUGGUCAAUGGGCGAGAGCCUGAACCAGCCAAGUAGCGUGCAGGAAGACGGCCCUAUGGGUUGUAAACUGCUUUUAUGCGGGGAUAAAGUGAGGGACGUGUCCCUCAUUGCAGGUACCGCAUGAAUAAGGACCGGCUAAUUCCGUGCCAGCAGCCGCGGUAAUACGGAAGGUCCUGGCGUUAUCCGGAUUUAUUGGGUUUAAAGGGAGCGUAGGCCGUGGAUUAAGCGUGUUGUGAAAUGCAGGUGCUCAACGUCUGCACUGCAGCGCGAACUGGUCCACUUGAGUGUGCGCAACGCAGGCGGAAUUCGUCGUGUAGCGGUGAAAUGCUUAGAUAUGACGAAGAACUCCGAUUGCGAAGGCAGCUUGCGGGAGCACAACUGACGCUGAAGCUCGAAAGUGCGGGUAUCGAACAGGG